rnacentral:rRNA from 1 species
UUAAGUUAGAAAGGGCGCACGGUGGAUGCCUUGACACUAGGAGUCGAUGAAGGACGGGACUAACGCCGAUAUGCUUCGGGGAGCUGUAAGUAAGCUUUGAUCCGAAGAUUUCCGAAUGGGGAAACCCACCAUACGUAAUGGUAUGGUAUCCUUACCUGAAUACAUAGGGUAAGGAAGACAGACCCAGGGAACUGAAACAUCUAAGUACCUGGAGGAAGAGAAAGCAAAUGCGAUUUCCUGAGUAGCGGCGAGCGAAACGGAACAUAGCCCAAACCAAGAGGCUUGCCUCUUGGGGUUGUAGGACAUUCUAUACGGAGUUACAAAGGAACGAGGUAGACGAAGCGACCUGGAAAGGUCCGUCGUAGAGGGUAACAACCCCGUAGUCGAAACUUCGUUCUCUCUUGAAUGUAUCCUGAGUACGGCGGAACACGUGAAAUUCCGUCGGAAUCUGGGAGGACCAUCUCCCAAGGCUAAAUACUCCCUAGUGAUCGAUAGUGAACCAGUACCGUGAGGGAAAGGUGAAAAGCACCCCGGAAGGGGAGUGAAAGAGAUCCUGAAACCGUGUGCCUACAAAUAGUCAGAGCCCGUUAACGGGUGAUGGCGUGCCUUUUGUAGAAUGAACCGGCGAGUUACGAUCCCGUGCGAGGUUAAGCUGAAGAGGCGGAGCCGCAGCGAAAGCGAGUCUGAAUAGGGCGUUUAGUACGUGGUCGUAGACCCGAAACCAGGUGAUCUACCCAUGUCCAGGGUGAAGUUCAGGUAACACUGAAUGGAGGCCCGAACCCACGCACGUUGAAAAGUGCGGGGAUGAGGUGUGGGUAGCGGAGAAAUUCCAAUCGAACCUGGAGAUAGCUGGUUCUCCCCGAAAUAGCUUUAGGGCUAGCCUUAAGUGUAAGAGUCUUGGAGGUAGAGCACUGAUUGGACUAGGGGUCCUCAUCGGAUUACCGAAUUCAGUCAAACUCCGAAUGCCAAUGACUUAUCCUUAGGAGUCAGACUGCGAGUGAUAAGAUCCGUAGUCAAAAGGGAAACAGCCCAGACCGCCAGCUAAGGUCCCAAAGUGUGUAUUAAGUGGAAAAGGAUGUGGAGUUGCUUAGACAACUAGGAUGUUGGCUUAGAAGCAGCCACCAUUUAAAGAGUGCGUAAUAGCUCACUAGUCGAGUGACUCUGCGCCGAAAAUGUACCGGGGCUAAAUACACCACCGAAGCUGCGGAUUGAUACCGAAUGGUAUCAGUGGUAGGGGAGCGUUCUAAGGACAGUGAAGUCAGACCGGAAGGACUGGUGGAGUGCUUAGAAGUGAGAAUGCCGGUAUGAGUAGCGAAAGACGGGUGAGAAUCCCGUCCACCGAAUGCCUAAGGUUUCCUGAGGAAGGCUCGUCCGCUCAGGGUUAGUCAGGACCUAAGCCGAGGCCGACAGGCGUAGGCGAUGGACAACAGGUUGAUAUUCCUGUACCACCUCUUUAUCGUUUGAGCAAUGGAGGGACGCAGAAGGAUAGAAGAAGCGUGCGAUUGGUUGUGCACGUCCAAGCAGUUAGGCUGAUAAGUAGGCAAAUCCGCUUAUCGUGAAGGCUGAGCUGUGAUGGGGAAGCUCCUUAUGGAGCGAAGUCUUUGAUUCCCCGCUGCCAAGAAAAGCUUCUAGCGAGAUAAAAGGUGCCUGUACCGCAAACCGACACAGGUAGGCGAGGAGAGAAUCCUAAGGUGUGCGAGAGAACUCUGGUUAAGGAACUCGGCAAAAUGACCCCGUAACUUCGGGAGAAGGGGUGCUUUCUUAACGGAAAGCCGCAGUGAAUAGGCCCAAGCGACUGUUUAGCAAAAACACAGCUCUCUGCGAAGCCGUAAGGCGAAGUAUAGGGGGUGACACCUGCCCGGUGCUGGAAGGUUAAGGAGAGGGGUUAGCGUAAGCGAAGCUCUGAACUGAAGCCCCAGUAAACGGCGGCCGUAACUAUAACGGUCCUAAGGUAGCGAAAUUCCUUGUCGGGUAAGUUCCGACCCGCACGAAAGGUGUAACGAUUUGGGCACUGUCUCAACCAGAGACUCGGUGAAAUUAUAGUACCUGUGAAGAUGCAGGUUACCCGCGACAGGACGGAAAGACCCCGUGGAGCUUUACUGUAGCCUGAUAUUGAAUUUUGGUACAGUUUGUACAGGAUAGGCGGGAGCCUUUGAAACCGGAGCGCUAGCUUCGGUGGAGGCGCUGGUGGGAUACCGCCCUGACUGUAUUGAAAUUCUAACCUACGGGUCUUAUCGACCCGGGAGACAGUGUCAGGUGGGCAGUUUGACUGGGGCGGUCGCCUCCUAAAGUGUAACGGAGGCGCCCAAAGGUUCCCUCAGAAUGGUUGGAAAUCAUUCGUAGAGUGCAAAGGCAUAAGGGAGCUUGACUGCGAGACCUACAAGUCGAGCAGGGACGAAAGUCGGGCUUAGUGAUCCGGUGGUUCCGCAUGGAAGGGCCAUCGCUCAACGGAUAAAAGCUACCCCGGGGAUAACAGGCUUAUCUCCCCCAAGAGUCCACAUCGACGGGGAGGUUUGGCACCUCGAUGUCGGCUCAUCGCAUCCUGGGGCUGUAGUCGGUCCCAAGGGUUGGGCUGUUCGCCCAUUAAAGCGGUACGCGAGCUGGGUUCAGAACGUCGUGAGACAGUUCGGUCCCUAUCCGUCGUGGGCGUAGGAAAUUUGAGAGGAGCUGUCCUUAGUACGAGAGGACCGGGAUGGACGCACCGCUGGUGUACCAGUUGUUCUGCCAAGGGCAUAGCUGGGUAGCUAUGUGCGGAAGGGAUAAGUGCUGAAAGCAUCUAAGCAUGAAGCCCCCCUCAAGAUGAGAUUUCCCAUAGCGUAAGCUAGUAAGAUCCCUGAAAGAUGAUCAGGUUGAUAGGUUCGAGGUGGAAGCAUGGUGACAUGUGGAGCUGACGAAUACUAAUAGAUCGAGGACUUAACCAU